rnacentral:misc_RNA from 1 species
CCUCCUUAAAAGAAGUGUGAAUCUUUCGUUUUAAGCGCCCACACAAUCUACUUAAUCAGUUCACCGACCGCGGGUCUGUAGCUCAGUUGGUUAGAGCGCACCCCUGAUAAGGGUGAGGUCGGAAGUUCAACUCUUCCCAGACCCACCAGGUUGCCUCCAAACCAGAGGCUUACCAAUCGGGGCCAUAGCUCAGCUGGGAGAGCACCUGCUUUGCAAGCAGGGGGUCGGCGGUUCGAUCCCGCCUGGCUCCACCAGGCGCUAAACGGCGGCGGCGAAUUACCGCCGCCGUUUAUCUCCUGGUGGAAGUACCAAGGGACGUUCUUUUACAAUUUGGGUAGUGAUAUACGACGGUGAAGUCAGGACAUCGUUUGACGUCCAGACUUUACUGGGUAUGCCAGCAUUUAUUAUGGUAGUAGUUGUGGUCUCAUUAAGAGCAGUCUUUUUGGGGUUAUAUGAUCAAGCGACUAAGCGCGCAUGGUGGAUGCCUUGGCGGCAAGAAGCGAUGAAGGACGUGGUAGCCUGCGAUAAA